UUGGAAUAUGUUUUAAUAAAACAUUUACAAGCGAGCCUUAAUUAGAAUUCAAUUAAGGCACGCGGUAAGUGGGUUGUUGAAAUUCCUAUCAUCU
rnacentral:pre_miRNA from 1 species